rnacentral:rRNA from 1 species
AUUGAACGCUGGCGGCGUGCUUAACACAUGCAAGUCGAUCGGUAACGCGGGGGCAACCCUGGCGACGAGAGGCGGACGGGUGAGGAACGCUUGGGAAUCUGCCUAUCAGCGGGGGACAACACGGGGAAACUCGUGCCAAUACCGCAUACGCUCUACGGAGGAAAGCCGGGGACCGCAAGGCCUGGCACUGAUAGAUGAGCCCAAGCCGGAUUAGCUAGUUGGCGGGGUAACGGCCCACCAAGGCGACGAUCCGUAGCUGGUCUGAGAGGACGAUCAGCCACACUGGAACUGAGACACGGUCCAGACUCCUACGGGAGGCAGCAGUGGGGAAUAUUGGACAAUGGGGGAAACCCUGAUCCAGCGACGCCGCGUGGGUGAAGAAGGCCUGCGGGUUGUAAAGCCCUUUCGGUAGGGACGAAAGCUCUCGGCCUAACACGUCGGGAGGUUGACUUAACCUACAAAAGAAGCACCGGCUAACUCUGUGCCAGCAGCCGCAGUAAUAC